rnacentral:lncRNA from 1 species
GAGGGAUCUCUGCAGAGUGAAAUACUAAUGUAGUGUACAGUCGGUGUGAUUCAUACCGUGGUUUAUGGGGCUGCAGCGGGAGGCGGUGCAUGUCAGCCUGACAACGCAGGCAGACAUGUGCUGAAAGCCAAACCGUGUUUGUCGUUGUGUUUUCACAGCUAUGAUGGAAACCACAACAAGAAUCGGUUUUGCUGCGAGGACAAAAGGACGACUCCGACUGUUCCCUCGUCGUCACGAUCUCAUCUGUGCUUCUCCUUCCUUGUUUUGCAGGCCGGUGCAGAGAUUUGCGACAUCACUCGUUAUCAUCCAGUGCAUUUUGACCUCAACCGGAACCAACGAUCUACCAGGACACAAAAUGACAACAGUGACAACAUUCAGAGCUCAGGCACUCAGUGAGGACCCGAGCUUCUCCAGGCAAAACAACCAAAAGGAAAUGUGUGAGGAGAAGAGAUCAAAUGAACUAUAAGAGGAAGAACAGCAGACACUGAGGAACACAAGGAAACAGAAAGCAUCAGCAGUAAUUAGAAAAAGGAACUUUUAUUUGCUUAGUUCUUAAUUACAUUGUUAUUUGUUUAUUUAAAAAUAUGUAACUGUUUCUGUGCUAAACUAUCUUAAAUCAUAACUCUUUUUAGUAAUUAAUACGUUGAUUAUUUGUAUGAAAACAAAGUAAGCAUUAAGCCUUAUCAGAGAGUUUGCGAUUCCAAACAGAAAAUGAAAAGGAGGUUCUAUCUGAACAAGCUCAUUUAAAAAUGUUGUUGGAGUGAUUACAUGUUUGCCUUUAGGGUGCCUGUUAUUAAAAGAGGGAUUGUUUGAAUACCCUUUCCACUAUCAAAUAUGUAAAAACUGAAAUUUGAAUUUGAAUCCAUCUCCAAAGCAAGACACAAGAUAGAUAGAGACGAUAUUUUAG